GGAGGGCUGGCUGAGAGGUUAUGUCGACUGCAGAACAGAGAAAGAUCUGCUAUUAGCUUUUGGAGACAUCAGUGCAUUUCAGAUGCUAAAAUCCCAUCAGAUAAAUCUGGUGUUUUAAUUGUGAAGAUCUUAGAAAUGUUUGAGGAGUGUAUGAUACAAGUUGCCAUCUGCCAGCAGCUGGAAGAGUCUCCUGCUAUCAUUUCAUCCAAAGACCUUGUCAUCAAUACAAGAGAACCAAUAAUCAAAGUCCUUUUUGCAAGAGAGACAGCAGCUCAUCUGAAGAGUAGGCCACAGGAUGUCAUCCACAUCUAUCCCCCAUGG